rnacentral:rRNA from 1 species
CACGCAGUAAACGAUGAUUACUAGUUGUUUGCGAUACAAUGUAAGCGACUGAGCGAAAGCGUUAAGUAAUCCACCUGGGGAGUACGUUCGCAAGAAUGAAACUCAAAGGAAUUGACGGGG